AAUACAUGCAAGUCGAACGAACUCUGGUAUUGAUUGGUGCUUGCAUCAUGAUUUACAUUUGAGUGAGUGGCGAACUGGUGAGUAACACGUGGGAAACCUGCCCAGAAGCGGGGGAUAACACCUGGAAACAGAUGCUAAUACCGCAUAACAACUUGGACCGCAUGGUCCGAGUUUGAAAGAUGGCUUCGGCUAUCACUUUUGGAUGGUCCCGCGGCGUAUUAGCUAGAUGGUGAGGUAACGGCUCACCAUGGCAAUGAUACGUAGCCGACCUGAGAGGGUAAUCGGCCACAUUGGGACUGAGACACGGCCCAAACUCCUACGGGAGGCAGCAGUAGGGAAUCUUCCACAAUGGACGAAAGUCUGAUGGAGCAACGCCGCGUGAGUGAAGAAGGGUUUCGGCUCGUAAAACUCUGUUGUUAAAGAAGAACAUAUCUGAGAGUAACUGUUCAGGUAUUGACGGUAUUUAACCAGAAAGCCACGGCUAACUACGUGCCAGCAGCCGCGGUAAUACGUAGGUGGCAAGCGUUGUCCGGAUUUAUUGGGCGUAAAGCGAGCGCAGGCGGUUUUUUAAGUCUGAUGUGAAAGCCUUCGGCUCAACCGAAGAAGUGCAUCGGAAACUGGGAAACUUGAGUGCAGAAGAGGACAGUGGAACUCCAUGUGUAGCGGUGAAAUGCGUAGAUAUAUGGAAGAACACCAGUGGCGAAGGCGGCUGUCUGGUCUGUAACUGACGCUGAGGCUCGAAAGUAUGGGUAGCAAACAGGAUUAGAUACCCUGGUAGUCCAUACCGUAAACGAUGAAUGCUAAGUGUUGGAGGGUUUCCGCCCUUCAGUGCUGCAGCUAACGCAUUAAGCAUUCCGCCUGGGGAGUACGGCCGCAAGGCUGAAACUCAAAGGAAUUGACGGGGGCCCGCACAAGCGGUGGAGCAUGUGGUUUAAUUCGAAGCUACGCGAAGAACCUUACCAGGUCUUGACAUACUAUGCAAAUCUAAGAGAUUAGACGUUCCCUUCGGGGACAUGGAUACAGGUGGUGCAUGGUUGUCGUCAGCUCGUGUCGUGAGAUGUUGGGUUAAGUCCCGCAACGAGCGCAACCCUUAUUAUCAGUUGCCAGCAUUAAGUUGGGCACUCUGGUGAGACUGCCGGUGACAAACCGGAGGAAGGUGGGGAUGACGUCAAAUCAUCAUGCCCCUUAUGACCUGGGCUACACACGUGCUACAAUGGAUGGUACAACGAGUUGCGAACUCGCGAGAGUAAGCUAAUCUCUUAAAGCCAUUCUCAGUUCGGAUUGUAGGCUGCAACUCGCCUACAUGAAGUCGGAAUCGCUAGUAAUCGCGGAUCAGCAUGCCGCGGUGAAUACGUUCCCGGGCCUUGUACACACCGCCCGUCACACCAUGAGAGUUUGUAACACCCAAAGUCGGUGGGGUAACCUUU
rnacentral:rRNA from 2 species